rnacentral:rRNA from 1 species
UAUGUGAUCGUCUCUCGCAUAUCAAUAAGCGGAGGAAAAGAAACUAACAAGGAUUCCCCUAGUAACGGCGAGUGAAGCGGGAAGAGCUCAAAUUUGAAAUCUUAAAGGGUUUCCCUUUACGAAUUGUAGUUUAAAGAAGUGUUUUCUGUUGAGGUUUUGGUAAAAGUUCUUUGGAAUAGGGACAUCAUAGAGGGUGAGAAUCCCGUAUUUGACCUUUACUUUCAACUUUGUGAUACACUUUCAAAGAGUCGGAUUGUUUGGGAAUGCAGUCCAAAAUGGGUGGUAAAUUUCAUCUAAAGCUAAAUAUUGGCGAGAGACCGAUAGCGAACAAGUACCGUGAGGGAAAGAUGAAAAGAACUUUGAAAAGAGAGUUAAACAGUACGUGAAAUUGUCAAAAGGGAAGCGUUUGACACCAGUGUUGUUUUUCUGAAAAUCAAUUAAAGAACUGUUUAUGCUAAGUUGUUUAGACUUUAUCAGCUAACUGUUUAGUUUUGAGCUUUUCUUUAAUGCACUUUUCAGUUAACAAGUCAACAUCAAUUUCUUUUGCUGUAAAAAAGCCUGAGGAAGGUGGCUUGAGAUUCGUCUUAAGUGUUUAUAGCCUCUUGCCUAUGCAGUCGGAGAGAUUGAGGUCUGCAGCGUAGAUCCUUCGGGGCUAAAUGCAUUUGUGCUAAGUUAUAGCAUUUUUAUAGACAACUUGUUGACUAUGAUUUGUCUUGUAGCUUACUCGCUUAUGUUAUUUUACCUACGCUUAGGAUGUUGAAGUCAUCGUAUCGCGC